GUGAAUAACCUUAAGUGCUGUGCAUGUUUUGUUAAACAUAAUCAACAUUUACUCAACCAUAGACUUUGUACAUUUUGGCUUUUGAAAGCUGCUGCAAAAAUGUGUUUUAUUUAUAUUAAAAAUAUAUGAUAUGAUAUAAAUAUGAUAUUUAUAUGAAAGAGUUUAUUUCUGUUUUUAUAUUUAUGCAAUGGUUUUCUCUGCAGAUAAUGAUCAGCAAAACAAAGGAAGGAUGAGGGAAGGAAAGGAACUUGAUACAGUGACCCUAAGAUCUCCAAGUGAGAACCAAGGAGAACCAUCAAAGCAGUCUAAGCAGGCAGGAAAAACUGGCAAAGAUCAGGAUGUGAAUAGACCAGCUAUUGAACCUACAUCUCAUCGACGGCUUUGGAGUAAGGCCGAAAAGGCAGCAGUAUGGCAACAGCUUUGCCAAUAUGUAACCUUAGAGAGUUCCUGGUAAAGAACCAUGUCUUGAAGUAUUUAAAGUUGAGCCUGCACUGAGAAGCCAAACUUGGAAAGACAUAAAAAACAAGUUUACAAUACUAUUACUGUUCAAAAGCCGAAAAAACAUUCUACAUUAGAUAUGGUCAAUCUUACAUUGUUUGGUUAAAACUACAAAAGAAGUUGUAAGCAGUGCAUAUUUGGCAAUGGUCCUUUGCCUAGUGUUUGGACAGCAGCAAAAAUAUGUAUUUUUGUUCCAUAAACAAAUAAAAUAGUUUGCAUUCGG